GAGUUUGAUCAUGGCUCAGGACGAACGCUGGCGGCGUGCUUAACACAUGCAAGUCGAACGGAAAGGCCCUGCUUUUGUGGGGUGCUCGAGUGGCGAACGGGUGAGUAACACGUGAGUAACCUGCCCUUGACUUUGGGAUAACUUCAGGAAACUGGGGCUAAUACCGGAUAGGAGCUCCUGCUGCAUGGUGGGGGUUGGAAAGUUUCGGCGGUUGGGGAUGGACUCGCGGCUUAUCAGCUUGUUGGUGGGGUAGUGGCUUACCAAGGCUUUGACGGGUAGCCGGCCUGAGAGGGUGACCGGCCACAUUGGGACUGAGAUACGGCCCAGACUCCUACGGGAGGCAGCAGUGGGGAAUAUUGCACAAUGGGCGGAAGCCUGAUGCAGCAACGCCGCGUGCGGGAUGACGGCCUUCGGGUUGUAAACCGCUUUCGCCUGUGACGAAGCGUGAGUGACGGUAAUGGGUAAAGAAGCACCGGCUAACUACGUGCCAGCAGCCGCGGUGAUACGUAGGGUGCGAGCGUUGUCCGGAUUUAUUGGGCGUAAAGGGCUCGUAGGUGGUUGAUCGCGUCGGAAGUGUAAUCUUGGGGCUUAACCCUGAGCGUGCUUUCGAUACGGGUUGACUUGAGGAAGGUAGGGGAGAAUGGAAUUCCUGGUGGAGCGGUGGAAUGCGCAAAUAUCAGGAGGAACACCAGUGGCGAAGGCGGUUCUCUGGGCCUUUCCUGACGCUGAGGAGCGAAAGCGUGGGGAGCGAACAGGCUUAGAUACCCUGGUAGUCCACGCUGUAAACGGUGGGUACUAGGUGUGGGGUCCAUUCCACGGGUUCCGUGCCGUAGCUAACGCUUUAAGUACCCCGCCUGGGGAGUACGGCCGCAAGGCUAAAACUCAAAGGAAUUGACGGGGCCCCGCACAAGCGGCGGAGCAUGCGGAUUAAUUCGAUGCAACGCGUAGAACCUUACCUGGGUUUGACAUGGAUCGGGAGUGCUCAGAGAUGGGUGUGCCUCUUUUGGGGUCGGUUCACAGGUGGUGCAUGGCUGUCGUCAGCUCGUGUCGUGAGAUGUUGGGUUAAGUCCCGCAACGAGCGCAACCCUUGUUCACUGUUGCCAGCACGUUAUGGUGGGGACUCAGUGGAGACCGCCGGGGUCAACUCGGAGGAAGGUGGGGAUGACGUCAAGUCAUCAUGCCCCUUAUGUCCAGGGCUUCACGCAUGCUACAAUGGCUGGUACAGAGAGUGGCGAGCCUGUGAGGGUGAGCGAAUCUCGGAAAGCCGGUCUCAGUUCGGAUUGGGGUCUGCAACUCGACCUCAUGAAGUCGGAGUCGCUAGUAAUCGCAGAUCAGCAACGCUGCGGUGAAUACGU
rnacentral:rRNA from 1 species